AACGAACGCUGGCGGCAGGCCUAACACAUGCAAGUCGAGCGAAGCCUUCGGGCUUAGCGGCGGGCGGGUGAGUAACGCGUGGGAACGUGCCCUUUGCUACGGAAUAGCCCCGGGAAACUGGGAGUAAUACCGUAUGUGCCCUUCGGGGGAAAGAUUUAUCGGCAAAGGAUCGGCCCGCGUUGGAUUAGGUAGUUGGUGGGGUAAUGGCCUACCAAGCCGACGAUCCAUAGCUGGUUUGAGAGGAUGAUCAGCCACACUGGGACUGAGACACGGCCCAGACUCCUACGGGAGGCAGCAGUGGGGAAUCUUAGACAAUGGGGGAAACCCUGAUCUAGCCAUGCCGCGUGAUCGAUGAAGGCCUUAGGGUUGUAAAGAUCUUUCAGUGGGGAAGAUAAUGACUGUACCCACAGAAGAAGCCCCGGCUAACUCCGUGCCAGCAGCCGCGGUAAAAC
rnacentral:rRNA from 1 species